ensembl:lncRNA
CUCUCCUAAGCCUUUCUCUAGUGUCCCCAUUCCCAUUACUGACUACCAGGGUUUGAGAUGGUCAAAAACAUUUUUGUCCCAGGACUACGCAUUAUAUACGACCUGCAAAGUAGCAUCACAAGUUCAAACUAGUGAAGGUUGUCAAGACAGAAAGUGUGCAAAGUGCAUCUACUUGGUUCUGUGAAGCAGAUCAGCUCUUUCUAUUUGAAGCGACCUGUUAAAUCUAACACACUCUCAGAGGUCAUCAAUGUUCCAGAGAACCCAAUACAAAAUACAUCAAAAGGUCAGUUAUAAGUGGAGUGAACCAAAGCUUGGUGAGAUUUCUCAGUUUUCCAUCAGGCAACUUUUGUGGCUUCGAGAGGUAACAAAUUUCAGAUGUCUGAAAAUCAAAAUCAGCAUCAUGAGCGUUAGAUGUUCAAUUACUUCCCACUAGUUAGCUCUACCUGUCUGAGGCAGAAGGAUAAUGACAUCCAGGUAAGCAUUCAACCCUGAUAUUUAAUAUUAAAAUGAAAUUUAAACAAGUCACAUUGUAACUGGUCUAGAAGAGAGGAAAACAUAUUUCUUUGAUGUACACCAUAAGGGAACAUCUGUUACAGCUGGAUUUUUAUCUGUGUUUCAUGUUCCCGUUCCUCUGUGACAUUCUAAAAACAUUAAUAAAAGUAAACAUUUUUGUUGUGAUCUUUAUAAAUGUCUACUAAACCACCCCAAGAUAAACAUCCUCCACCUCCCACAGAUCUGGCUUUGUGCUGAGGGACAUGAAUGCACAUGUUCACCAGUCUUAUUUUACAUUUUGUUGGUAUAUCAUUGCCUGAGCAAAUUCUCAUCACAGUAGAAUUAUAAACACCCAAGAACUGUGUGAAUUCUGUACAUUUAUUAAUAUAUUCACAUUUACAGUAAAAAAGCACACAAUACAACAGAACUGGCAAUACAACAGAAUACACAAUAUACAAAAGUACACAAAACUGCAACACCAAAAUCUAUUCAGUGUUCUGCUCCGCCAUGUAUUAUUAUUAGUAGUAUUAGUAUUAGUAUUAAAAAAAAUUAAAUCACAGAUUACAGUGAGUUCUGUGAAAAAGCCCUGUACAAGUAUUUUUGUUGUCAAAGGUACAACAGUUGUUCUUAAAGAUUAUAUACCAUUAAUUAUAAUACUAUAUAUUUGUAUUUAUAUAAGUAACAGUAUAAACAACAUGUUCUCGAGUAUAUUACAGCAGUGAGAAAUGUUUGUACGGUAUGUUACCUUUUUCAUUCUGAGAAGGUAAAUAAUUGUAAAAAAGCUACGGGUAAAAAUCACCACAGAUGUUUAAAAACAGAUCCCACAAAAUCUCAAAAUCAGAAAAGGAGUCAGUUCACACCAAUCCAUUAGCAAUUGAAAAGCAUCACACAGUGAUAAGUAAGAGAUAAAUAUUUCACUGAAACUAGAAAUGAAGCGUUAGAAAAAGAAAGAAAGAAAAGAAUCUGCUACAUAUAUGGGAUUAUAUUUUCCCCUUAACUGUACAAUUUCCCCCUUUUUCCUUAAUUUCCUUAAUCUCCCUCUGCCAUGACAGAGACUGACAUAAAGAAAGCUUAUCUUUCUGAGCUUGGGACAGUGUCACAACUACUGUAUGUAUUGGGAUUAUAUUAUUUCAGUUUCUGUGAUCAUUUUGUGAGUGAAUAUUGAUGAAAUUGACAUAUUACAGUUUUUAUUUCUUAUAAACAAAACAGCAACAAUGAGGCCUAAGGCAAGACAAAUCAUGAACAAUACAGCCAAGGCAACUUCAGGUGAACGACCCUUAGGUGAAGUCUUAAGUUUCUCUGUGAAAAGACAAAAAUCAUUGUGUUAUUUAAAGCCCACAUCACAUCUCUUGCAGCAAAUAAAUUAUGUCCUUUGAACUCAGUGAAAGCAAAGUACCUUCAUGACCGUGAGAAUUGGUUGUAGAAACAGGACCUGGUGUGGUGAGAUUAGCAGCAGGCCGCUCUGUCAGAAAAUAAAAUGAAAUGAAAUUUAACAAUGUGCUCUGCAGUCAUACACAAGAGGUAUAUAUCUUAUAAAACUACAAAAGAAAAGUACCUAUGGUCACGCUGAAUUUUGUUUCACCAAUUCCUUCUUUCAUUUGUACCCAAAAUGUAAAUGUUCCACUGUGACUCGCUGAUGCACUUUCAUUUAUGCAAUGAAAUAUAUGACUGUUGCCACUAGUAAAGUUACGCAUUUUACUGCAGUUGAUUUUAGUUUCUCCAUGCUUCCAAGUAUAGCUGUCUAAUUCACAUUUUUUACAUGUAACAUUGCAGGUUAGAUGUACUGGUUUUCCCUCAGUGGUAGCUUGAUUUGCACAGUUUGUUGGAAAUUCUGUAGAAAAAAUAAAAUAAAAUAAAAUAAAAAAAAGGUGAAUAAAGUGUAAUAGCAUCACACACACACACACACACACACACACACACACACACACACACACACAGGACAGAUGUGACUCAUCAUCCACCUUUGGUGUUUGAGCAUGUGGCUCAGUAGUGAAACUUUCAUCUGAAUAAGAAUACAUUUUACUUACGAGCAUAGACUGUGAUAAGCAGGACUUGAAUCAGGACACAGUGAAUAAGACAUGUUCCAGCCAUGACCUCUUUCCUAGAACAACAUCAUAUAUUUCCUAUCACAUUACAGACCAGUUCGUGACAGUGUGUUCAUACCCAUUAUGUCAUGCAUGACUAUUGUUAUUACUGCACUGUCCGGAGCUCGGGUAAGCUUUCAUACUGGACUUUAUAUAAGACAUUAGUUACAUUUUAACUAUGCAUCUAACUUCGAGAUAAGAUACUUAAGCCAACUUCCUUGACAAAACAGCUGUGUGCAGCCUCGUGAUGCGUUAAUAACCAGAGGUUAAGCUGCAAUCGGAAUUUGGGUUUUAAGAAUUAAUUACAUUACAGUUCCAUAUCACUUCGCCAAGAGAAAUGAAAGAACAGAAAUGUACUGUCCACCGCAGCGCACACAUUUAACAACAAACAAAACGACAGAAAAUGUAGAUUUUUCAGAAAUAAGUAAGAAGUAAUUGAAGAUGGGCCACUGAAUUAUUAUUAGUAGUAGUAGGUCUAUCAAUAUUUAUUUGGUCCAUAUUUAUAUUAUCAGCAGGAAACAAGCAAAAAACAAAACAAAACAAAAAUCCUGUGAACUCUCUCUCAUUCUCUCUCUCUCUCAUAGAACUUCUUUAAGUUUUCCUCUUGCUCUGCUUCUAAACAUGCCAAAAAAGCAUUUUAGCAAAUACACCAAGAUAAUGUGCAAUAAUCAUCAUUGCAAAAAAUAAAACAAACAAACAAAUAGUAGUAGUAGUAGUAGUAAUAAUAAUAAUAAUAAUAAUAAUAAUAAUAAUAAUAAUAAUAAAUACACUUUCAGAUAGUAUCUUUAAAUACAGUAUCAUUUUG